UACGGGGGGGGGCAAGCGUUGUUCGGAAUUACUGGGCGUAAAGGGCUCGUAGGCGGCCAACUAAGUCGGAUGUGAAAUCCCCAGGCUCAACCUGGGAACUGCAUCCGAUACUGGAUGGCUUGAAUUCGGGAGAGGGAUGCAGAAUUCCAGGUGUAGCGGUGAAAUGCGUAGAUAUCUGGAGGAAUACCGGUGGCGAAGGCGGCAUCCUGGACCGACAUUGACGCUGAUGAGCGAAAAGCUAGGGGAGCAAACGGG
rnacentral:rRNA from 1 species